GGAGGAAGCCCGGGAUUUGGGGCUGAUGGGGAAUUACCCAAAGCCCUCCGGUCUCAAGCGCGUAACCGGGAACCGUGGCUGCGGUGCCUUCAGGCGUGCCCGGAGGGGAGAAGAGGAUUCUCACGCUUCGGUUAACGGCGAGGCAUACCUUGGAGAUAUUGCGGGUUCAGUUCUAGACCACCACAAUAAAGCAAAUAUUACAAUAAACAUGGAACAUGAAGGAGGACCUGGAGAUAUUGAUGUCUUUGGAAUGAGCAGAGAUAAUAGCCAAAUACAAUCAGCGAUGCCAAGCACGGACACUGGUGGAACUUUGGAAAGAUGCUGGCCUCUUGCUGCACAAAGUCACUGACCAUCUUGGUUUUCUGCAGUGAGUCGUCUGGAGACCCCUCCUUCUCAUCUCAGGGAUGGUUUCCAUUUGCAGAGACAGCCGUCUCUUCAGCUCAGAGCCUUGUCCCCUGGUGCCUUCUGCAGGCCACGAUCUACACUAGGCUUGAGCUGAAAGACCGAGCAUGCAAACUCGGUGAGAAGGAGCUGCCUGGCCUCGGCACCCAGGAGGCAAAGCAAAAACACCAAGAGCUUGGAUGAGUGAGUGGACAAGUAGGUGAAGACGUUGAGGAAGUGGAAUAAAUACCAUGGCAGUGAUGCAUCGAUGGAUCUAUAAAGGGAUCCCCCCACAGGUGCGGGGUCAGUGUGGUCUCUCCUGUUGGCUAUUGAGAAAGUGGAGGUGGAGAAUGAAGGAAUAUAUGAGAAAAUGAAGGAGCAGGCCAAGGUCUUCUCUCCGGAAAUAAAGCAGAUUGACUUGGACGUGAACUACACCUUCCACAACCACAUCAUCUGGGACCACUGGGCCUGGAGUGAGUGUCCCCAGCGCCCAGCCCUCUUCUCACCUCUCCCAGCAUUGAGACGCUCCCUAAAGAAGAUGGGCUGGCCCUCCCUGGCCCACUCAUCCAGCGUGAGCAGCCCAGACCCUCGUCUAGCCAGACUGUCCCUAAGGCCUGGGAGCAGCAGCAUGAGGGGAUGUCCACAAGGCCCACAGCUGCAAGCCACUCUCUGGGGCCCCAGAGACCUGCGUCUGGCCUGCUUGCCCCCAGCCCAGGACAGCUCUUGGGAUUGGCUGCGGCCACGCCGACGGAAUUCCCUCCCAAAUCUCCCAGUGAACCACAAGGCAGCAGGCAGGUGGCCCCCAGACAUCAGCUUUGAGCUGGAACGCUGGGUCCCUUUCCCUUCAACAGCUGCUUGGGCCACCCCCAAGGCCACACAAUGGGCUUGGCCCUGCAACCCCAAUGGGGCCCCAGUGACAGGUCCUGCCCAGCCCGCUAAAGACCGAGCCGUAAGGGCCCCGGACACCCCUCCUGACCUGUGGCACCUGCAGCCGAUGCCCUUCUUGGGGCAGUGACCAGUGCAGCCGAGACAGAGCCGGGGCGGUGCCCAGCGAGCUACCCCAAGGCCCUGCACAUACCAACCACCCCCUGACCUCCGUGUCUACAGGGAAUUUGGACACUAGGGGUCCUCCGCAGUGGAGGGUGACUGCAAACGAGGUGGCCCUGAGGCCUCAGCCAGCCAGAGCAGGCCCUGCUUCUUCAUGCUGACCUUCGUGACAGAUGGUGCCCCUUUCACACCACACAGUUCCCUGACCCAGAGGGGCCUGGCCUGAACCCAGGCCCUGGGAGGGUGGGGAGCUAUGAGCUCCCCCACAGCUAGGAUGAGGACUGAGGAGACUGAGCCCCCUGGGGCCCUGGCCAGUCCUGGACUCUGGCCUACGGCAGGGCGAGCCCUUGGAGCAGUAUGUGGCCACUGGGGGCUGGCAUCAUGAAUGACCUGAGGCAGCUCUGGGAGCAACAGGCUACCCCAGUGAGAGAGUGGCAGAGGCAGGAGGGCCAGCCUGACCCUCAUGCACACAAGCUGGCAGGAUCGGCCAGACACCAGGGCACUGAACGACCACCUGGCACCAACGGCGCAGAGCCCCGAGGCUGAGCAGACGGCCCUGCUCUGAGAACCCGAGAGGUGCUGCUCCCGGUCGGGCUGGAGGACGCUGGUGGGGGUGGACCUAAGAUGCCAGGUCCCUCACUCUGCCAUCAUCGGCAACUGCCUUUCAGGAAAUGUGACCCCACCAGGAGUCAGAAGGAGGCUCCAAGGUGGUGGACACCAGGUGCCUGAGUCUGGUUUCAGCGUUCCCUAAGAAGGCCUCCCUCUCAGGGGGAAGGGACACGUCCUUGGCCUCAAUAACCCCCUUGCCGGCUAACGGUCAGUAAAGUGUUUUGUGUUAAAAUGCAAGACUGGCCUGUUCUUACAGUGCCCAGGGCUCUCUGCAGGAAGCGCCAGAUGCCCCAAGAGGCAGAGGGAGGCACAGCCCAGACCACUUGACCAGCCUCUGCCAGCUGCUGCUGCAGAGGGGCCACCAGCCAGACGAAGUUGAGGUUCCUGCCGUGCUUCCUGCAAGGAACAUGCGCCACAGCCUCCCAACCUCUACCAGAUGCCAGGGUCAAGACCAUCAAAUAAUUUACUGCGAUGUACUUUCCAACAGGCCAGGGCAGGGCUGGGAAGAGAGCAACAGCUGGGGUGCUGCUGGUGUCAGUUCACAAAAAUCUGUGCAAAGUGUCCAUGGGAAGUCUGCAGUCACCUUGUCCACUGACCCUGGGCUGGCUGGGCUCCAGUGGCACUUCCUUCCUUCCAGCCUCCUUCCCCUAUCUGUGCCUCCUCUCUACAUCUGGUACCUCCACGCCCUGCACCUGUGCCUGGCAGAAACUUCAGAGUGGACACUGGUCAGGAGAGCAAGCACUUGCAGCUCAUGCAUCCUGGCCACCGCUGUCAGGCAUGCUCAGCUUGCCCACUUUGUGCUGCUGGAUCUCACCCCCAGCACGUAGAAGGCGUCCUCCAUGCCCUGAGAAGAAGAAGCUGGCUCAGUGCGGGACUCGGCCUGGGGGCCUGGCAAGAGAGAAGUCCCAGGGAUCCCUGCCGUGGGGUCAAGCAGAGACCCAGCCUCUUCCCUACCCCCCACGCCCAUAAACAGGGAUCCAGGCCCUGCUCAUCUUGUGGCCCCAGGACCACCCCCAUCAGGCAGCUUACUCCUCAGCUGCUCCCCACAGGGCAAGGCAGGUGGCCCCCAGGUCUGGCUCCAAGCUUGACCACCCUUAGCCCAGCUCCUAUCUGAGCCACCCCUGCCCAGCACCACAAGACCACCUCCUCCAGGAAGCCCUCCUGAGUUUCUUCAGACUAUACAUGGUGCCAGAUGAGGAUACACUUGAGGUGCACAGGAAGGCCCUGGGUCAGUCGGAGCCCAGGAUGCUGCCUCUUGCCUGAAGGAUGAGGGGAGAAGGUGGGCAUAGGCCAACUCUGAGCUAAGAGGAGGGGUCCCCCACUUGCUUUGGUGGUGUGCUUGGUAUUGGCAGAGAAAGAAAGCCCAGGAGAGUUCCCCUGCAGCAAGACGAUGGAGAAGGGCUGUCAGGUGGGUCCCACCCACCUGGCAAAUACAGGACAUCCACCUGCUUCAACCAGGCUUUGCAAAGAAGGGCACAAGAAAUCCCUGGGAAGGCGAUCCAGGACCAGGCGGGCUCCCUGGUCCAAAACCUGCUCUAGUAGUUCCUUUAUGCCAAGAGGAGCUUGAGAGAGCUCGGAGGCCUGGGGCAGUGGGCAGCACCAGAGAAGCUGCCCCCACAGUGAGCCUGACUCAAAGGCCCUCCAAAUGCCCAACAAAAGAAUGAGAACCUCCUCAGGUUCCAGUUUGGCACAAAAAGGGACUGGGGUUCCCAUCCCAGCUCAGCCACAUACAUUUGGACUCACCAACUCACCCAUUUAUGAGUGGUGUGAUUUGAGCCAAGUUACUCAGUCUCUCUGUACCUCAGUUGAUUUCUCUUUAAAGGGGAGACACUCAUGCUUACGUAUCUGAACUAGCAUGUGGACUCAAUGAGGAAAGAACCAGACACAUGGCAAGCACUCAACAACGAUGUGUCCCCUACUUCUGCAGGCUGAGUUUGGGGAGCUGCUGCCUCUUGUGGGUCAUGCAGAAAGUGUAAGAACAAGAGGUGGAAAGUUCCCAGGUCGUACACUUGGAUGCCCACAUAAUUGAACUGCAGUCUCAAGAGAAGAGAGUAUCUCAUCACCAGAAGCAAUCAAGUAUCUGGAAGGGAUGCCCUGAGGACCCUUGAUUCCCUCUGGGGGCUGCCAUGCAAGCCACCCUUGUCCAGCACCUGCUGGAAGUCACGUGUACCACAGCCACCCUCCUGGGUAAUCUAGCUCUUCUCUAAAUGCCCCAGAAAAAGUCUCCUGUCCUGUAGCCCUCAUCUUAGGAAGGGCUCCCUGGAUUCACCCUAACUCCAGCCCCACAAACUACCUCUGCAAAGUCCACAGGUAGCUUUUCUUGGUAGGGAGCUUGAGAUGGGGGGAACAAUAGGGACAGCACCAGGAAGUUAGAUACAUGACAGGCUGAGGGUUUGCAACACAACCCACAUGUAAACUUGCAUGAUAUGCAGACUGUCGUCUGUGUGGGUCAACAGCUCUGACCUGCAGUGGAAGCCACAGCCACAGCCCUCAUCAGGGCUCCUGGCAUCUCUCCACAUGCCAGGUCCCCUCUCGCCCCCCUGCACCUGUCCGUGCCUCUUCUUCUGCCAGCACCGUCCCCAGGGACCCGUCUCUGAAGUGCUCUGGCCUCAUUCAUUAUUCAGCUGUGUCCUCAGGUUGGAGGCCCAGGGGCCAGAGGGUUGGCAGUGUGCGUGUUCUUUCAUCUCCCAGGUUGUGCAGGGAAUGCAGAAAUGCUGGGCUGGUGUCUAGGAUGCGAACUGGAUACUCUCAUUUCUGGGUCUGGGGGAACCCUCAUGCUUUAUGCUCCAGGACCCCCCUCUCACAGGGCUGCCCCCUGGGAUUACCCCACAGGGGCUUCCCCCCCCCACCUCAGGGAGCCACGACUGGACCCACCGAUCCCCCGUCCCUGCUUCUGAGUGCAGAGCUGGGAUUGAUCCCAGCGUGUGAGUCCAGGUGCCAGCUCUCUACAAGCAGCAAGUGGCAAGACUUGGCUGUUCUGUGAAUAGCACACAAGUCACCUCAGAAUGAGCUUGGGGCUGGAGGUAGUGUAAAAGCCUUAGCAAGCCUCUGGUCAGAGGGAGGAAGACCCCCCCUGACGUGGUGCUAAGACAUGUGCCAAAUCUACAGCCUACCCGAGAACCAGCUCCAGCGGUUGUGCCCUGACCCUGCUUCGGUGGACUGCGUGGGAGGUGGGUUCGGAGGGCAGAGGUCUCUUACAAAGUACAGGACCACUUAUCAUGUGAUGUGCACGUGGAAUGGUGACGCGGCUCUGCUCUUCCCCUCUCAGGCUGCAGGUUGCAUUUUAGUCACUCAAGUUUCCCUCCCAAGAUGCACCGACCAGCCUUCAGUUACUUGAAUAAAUGCAAGGGUUGGGGGAAGAUGGAGAGAUAUAGGAUCAAAUUGCCUGGUCUUAAAUAUUUCUCAUCCCUUUGCCUAUCCUUUAUCUAUCUGCCCCAUAGCCUUGAUCCCCGCCAUAGGAUCAAAACCGGAAUCUUCUGUGCACGUCUGCAGCUGCCCUGAGUCUAAUGUUGGAUUCCUAGGCUAGGCCAAAGGAGAUGGAACUGGCCUGGCCCUCCCCUCCCGGCAGAUGGAGUCUAACAGGAGGGCUUCCCCCCGUUACUGAAGACAGAGGAAGAUGGUAGGGGAGAUAGCACCCAGCAGGGAUGGUUUCCAUCUCUCCUGCCCCUGUGCCUAGCGCAACAGCAUCGGGCCUAGAGCGUGGCGGUGAAAUGAGUCUUGGUCUUCCCCUCCACAAAGUCCCACUUCAGAAAAAUCAAAGGGGACAUCAAAGGAGAAGUCUUCGGUGAGGGCACCAAAGGCUGAGUGGGAGGCAAAGCAGGAUGCCAGGGAUAGCUGCCCCUGACAGGUUCCCAAGUGUAGGUUUCCUCAUAGAAAUCUGAGGAUCCCUGUUUAGCAAAUCCAGAAAACCUAGGACCUGGUGAGGGGACCAGACAAGAUCUCAAAAGUGUGACUUUUUCAUUGACUCCUACAAUCCAGGCUGCUUUUCCAAAACCUGACUCCCAGGUCCGCAUUCCCUCCCUGGCUUUCUGCUGUGGUUCCCUGGAAGGGACCAGCCUUAAGUGUAGAGGAUGGGAUGAGAGAUCUGGACUCUGCCUAGAAGAGAGAUGGCCAGCCUGUCCAAGACUUUGUGGAGGUCCUGACCUGGCGGGCCUAGAGAUCUGGAGUCUUCCAAGAAGCAGGGACUGGAGAUCCUCAUCUGGGCCUUCCCAGUGACCCCAGCCUCUGAGCUCCAGGAAUCCAGCAUUUAAUAGUACACCUUAGCCAGAAAUAAUAUGAUUAGCUCAGCCCAGUCUGGCCCUAGUUCCUGCCUUCAAGGUCGAAUCAUGCACUCCUCACUCGCACUGUUCCUUGCCAGGGACCGCCCCCCCCCCCGGCCCCCGCUUUAUCUCUACUCUUCUACUCAAAUCCUCCCUGUCUUCAAGAAUCAGCUCAAGUUCCACGUGGUCCAAGAAGCCUUUUCCUUCUGCUCCAACCCCUGUUGAG